rnacentral:rRNA from 1 species
UACGAAGGGAGCAAGCGUUGUUCGGAAUUACUGGGCGUAAAGGGCAUGCAGGCGGUUUAGUUAGUUAGAUGUGAAAGCCCAGGGCUCAACCCUGGAACUGCAUUUAAUACUGCUAGACUAGAGAUCAAGAGAGGAUAACGGAAUACCCAGUGUAGAGGUGGAAUUCGUAGAUAUUGGGUGGAACACCAGAGGCGAAGGCGGUUAUCUGGCUUGAUACUGACGCUGAGAUGCGAAAGCGUGGGGAGCGAACAGG